AUGCAAGUCGAACGGUGAAGCAGAGCUUGCUCUGUGGAUCAGUGGCGAACGGGUGAGUAACACGUGAGCAACCUGCCCCUGACUCUGGGAUAAGCGCUGGAAACGGCGUCUAAUACUGGAUAUGAGCUGCGAUCGCAUGGUCAGCAGUUGGAAAGAUUUUUCGGUCUGGGAUGGGCUCACGGCCUAUCAGCUUGUUGGUGAGGUAAUGGCUCACCAAGGCGUCGACGGGUAGCCGGCCUGAGAGGGUGACCGGCCACACUGGGACUGAGACACGGCCCAGACUCCUACGGGAGGCAGCAGUGGGGAAUAUUGCACAAUGGGCGAAAGCCUGAUGCAGCAACGCCGCGUGAGGGAUGACGGCCUUCGGGUUGUAAACCUCUUUUAGCAGGGAAGAAGCGAAAGUGACGGUACCUGCAGAAAAAGCGCCGGCUAACUACGUGCCAGCAGCCGCGGUAAUACGUAGGGCGCAAGCGUUAUCCGGAAUUAUUGGGCGUAAAGAGCUCGUAGGCGGUUUGUCGCGUCUGCUGUGAAAUCCCGAGGCUCAACCUCGGGUCUGCAGUGGGUACGGGCAGACUAGAGUGCGGUAGGGGAGAUUGGAAUUCCUGGUGUAGCGGUGGAAUGCGCAGAUAUCAGGAGGAACACCGAUGGCGAAGGCAGAUCUCUGGGCCGUUACUGACGCUGAGGAGCGAAAGGGUGGGGAGCAAACAGGCUUAGAUACCCUGGUAGUCCACCCCGUAAACGUUGGGAACUAGUUGUGGGGUCCAUUCCACGGAUUCCGUGACGCAGCUAACGCAUUAAGUUCCCCGCCUGGGGAGUACGGCCGCAAGGCUAAAACUCAAAGGAAUUGACGGGGACCCGCACAAGCGGCGGAGCAUGCGGAUUAAUUUCGAUGCAACGCGAAGAACCCUUACCAAGGCUUGACAUAUACGAGACGGGCCCAGAAAU
rnacentral:rRNA from 1 species